rnacentral:siRNA from 1 species
CGUUUUCGUCUUGUCCAAUCGC